rnacentral:ncRNA from 2 species
CAGUCGUUAUAUGACUGACGGAAUGAGUGGAGAACCACGUGGAGUAUAACAUGGCAGUUUUAUUGGCUGCCGAAGAAUGCAAUGUCUCUUCGAGGCAUCGCAGGCGAUGCUUCAGAGAAGCGUUGCAAUUGCCGACCGUCUGGGCAACAAAA